GGAAUGAGAAGACUUGUAUGAGUUGAUGCAAAGUACAGUGAGCAGAACUAGAAUACUGUACAUAAUUACAGCAAUAUUGUUAUGAUGACCAAUUAUAAAAGGGUUAGCUAGUCUGAUCAACACAAUGAGAUCAACACAAUGAUCCACGACAAUUCCAAAAGACUCAUGAGAGAAAAUGCUAUCCACCUGCAGAACUGAAAUCUUCUGGGAAAGGCUGGCUUCCAAGAGCCUUUGAGAUAAAGGGGGGAAAAAGUUUAGCAAGACAAAAGGUAAAUCCCUACUAAAGAUGGAGACAUCCAGGAGAAGUCUUCAUUAAAUGAAUAUGAUGAUCUGACAAAAAAGAAUUUGUUUUGUUUCAAGAAAAGAAGAGAGAAUAAAAUAAAAGCUGGAAAAGCUGGGAAAUAUAAGCCAGGGAAGUUUAUUCAAAUAUAUUAAAACUAAAGAAGGACUUCAGAUUUCACUGUUUGCUGACUUGGAACUUACAGAAAGAACACAAGUGAAUGAGCAAGUAUCCCUAUAUUAAAUGUGUUUCUUCGCUUCACAACAGUGGUUGUUUCUGACAAAGCCAGAAAACAGAAACCUGACUGAAAGAAGUCAAAGAUUUCCACUAGCCACUUACUCACUAGCUUCUUUCUUCUUUCUUCAAAGCUAAUAAAACCUUUAUUUGUCAUAAAGUCACUUUAAUCAUCAAAGAGCACAUGCCACAUCACUGGGAUGCCUGAAAGCAUUGUAAAACUUACGGGGAAUAAAAAAGGAGAGAAGACUUAACAAGUGAUUCUAACUAACCCUCUGUAUUUCAGAUUUGUAUCUAUAUCUAUAUAAUUUUUUAAAAAAUUUAAAUUCUAAAAAAGCAUUUGGUUUUCUCAGAUUCUUUUCUAGUUAGCUUCUCUGCUCCUUCCAUUAUGGUAGUGGGUUGAGUCUCUUAGGGAAGAAUUUAUUGUUAAUGUAUAAAGAAAAGUUUAGUGUAUUUCAGAGUUUUAAAAUCAGACAAAUACUUUCACUGGGCAUUUUGCUAAGGAAGUAGUAGCUGAGGACUACGGCAAUAGAUAAGAUUUCAAAAAUCAUAAGCUCAAACAAAAGGCAUUUGCAGAAGGGGUCUCCUUUAAUUCCCACUACUUUACAAUUACAGAACCUAAGAGGCCCCCAAAUCAGCACUUUCAGGUAGACAAUAUUAACACUGGGAGACCUGAAACACAAGCAAGGCAAUCACUAGUCUCAGAUGAUAAACUUCAAAGAAACAUAAAGUAACAUAUGUUUCCCCAUGAAGAGCCUCAGGUAGUUUCCCUGGCCAUAGAAAACAUUUCACAAAUGACUAGGGAAAAACUAAAAUGAUUUAUAUUAUGAAAUUGUAAUAAAUAUGUGACUUUAUAUCAGCUACCAGCACUUAAACUGGUGCCCCAAAUUUAUGUUUUACAUAAUUAAAAAAACAAACAAAUGAGAUUUGGAUAGCUAUUGGUUAGAAUGAUUUUAUUCGUUAUCAUAAUAAUAGUCAACAGGCAAACAAUUAUUAAAUGUCUAUGAAAAUUGUACUAAAUGUUAAGGAUAUCGAUAAAGAAUGAAAGGAAAGCUAGGUGACUCAGUGGAUAGAGAGCCAGGCCUAGAGAUGGAAUUAUCUUGGGUUCAAAACUGGCCUCAGAAGCUUCAGAGUUGUAUUACUUAAUCCCAAUUGCCUAAUCCUUGCUGCUUUUCUGCCGUGGCACCAAUACUUAGUAUCAAU